rnacentral:rRNA from 1 species
GAUGAACGCUGGCGGCGUGCCUAAUACAUGCAGGUCGAGCGAACGGACGAGAAGCUUGCUUCUCUGAUGUUAGCGGCGGACGGGUGAGUAACACGUGGAUAACCUACCUAUAAGACUGGGAUAACUUCGGGAAACCGGAGCUGAUACCGGAGAAUAUUUUGAACCGCAUGGUUCAAGAGUGCAUGACGGUCUUGCUGUCUCUUAUAGAUGGAUCCGCGCUGCAUUAGCUAGUUGGUAAGGUAACGGCUUACCAAGGCAACGAUGCAUAGCCGACCUGAGAGGGUGAUCGGCCACACUGGAACUGAGACACGGUCCAGACUCCUACGGGAGGCGGCAGUAGGGAAUCUUCCGCAAUGGGCGAAAGCCUGACGGAGCAACGCCGCGUGAGUGAUGAAGGUCUUCGGAUCGUAAAACUCUGUUAUUAGGGAAGAACAUAUGUGUAAGUAACUGUGCACAUCUUGACGGUACCUAAUCAGAAAGCCACGGCUAACUACGUG